CUGAAAUCAGGCGGGAUUACCCGCUGAAC
rnacentral:rRNA from 1 species